AACGUACGCUGGCGGCACGCCUAACACAUGCAAGUCGAACGAAGUAGCAAUACUUAGUGGCAGACGGGUGAGUAACAUGUAGGUAUCUGCCCUAUGGCCUGGAAUAACACGAGGAAACUUGUGCUAAUACCGGAUAAGUCUUUACGGAGAAAGCUUUAUGCACCAUUGGAUGAGCCUGCACUUGAUUAGUUUGUUGGUAGGGUAAUGGCCUACCAAGACUGUGAUCAAUAGCUGAUUUGAGAGGAUGAUCAGCCACAUUGGGACUGAGACACGGCCCAAACUCCUACGGGAGGCAGCAGUGGGGAAUCUUGCACAAUGGAGGAAACUCUGAUGCAGCGAUGCCGCGUGAGUGAAGAAGGCCUUUGGAUUGUAAAGCUCUUUCGUCGGGGAAGAAAAUGACUGUACCCGAAUAAGAAGGUCCGGCUAACUUCGUGCCAGCAGCCGCGGUAAUACGAAGGGACCUAGCGUAGUUCGGAAUUACUGGGCUUAAAGAGUUCGUAGGUGGUUGAAAAAGUUGGUGGUGAAAUCCCAGAGCUUAACUCUGGAACUGCCAUCAAAACUUUUCAGCUAGAGUAUGAUAGAGGAAAGCAGAAUUUCUAGUGUAGAGGUGAAAUUCGUAGAUAUUAGAAAGAAUACCAAUUGCGAAGGCAGCUUUCUGGAUCAUUACUGACACUGAGGAACGAAAGCAUGGGUAGCGAAGAGGAUUAGAUACCCUCGUAGUCCAUGCCGUAAACGAUGUGUGUUAGACGUUGGAAAUUUAUUUUCAGUGUCGCAGCGAAAGCGAUAAACACACCGCCUGGGGAGUACGACCGCAAGGUUAAAACUCAAAUGAAUUGACGGGGACCCGCACAAGUAGUGGAGCAUGUGGUUUAAUUCGAAGAUACGCGCAGAACCUUACCAACACUUGACAUGUUCGUCGCGACUCUGAGAGAUUAGAGUUUUCGGUUCGGCCGGACGAAACACAGGUGCUGCAUGGCUGUCGUCAGCUCGUGUCGUGAGAUGUUGGGUUAAGUCCCGCAACGAGCGCAACCCUCACUUUUAGUUGCCAUCAUUAAGUUGGGCACUCUGAAAGAACUGCCAGUGAUAAGCUGGAGGAAGGUGGGGAUGACGUCAAGUCCUCAUGGCCCUUACGUGUUGGGCUACACACGUGCUACAAUGGUAUCUACAACAGGAAGCAAGACGGCGACGUUAAGCAAAUCCUUAAAAGAUACCUCAGUUCGGAUUGCACUCUGCAACUCGAGUGCAUGAAGCUGGAAUUACUAGUAAUCGUGGAUCAGCGUGCCACGGUGAAUGCGUUCCCGGGUCUUGUACACACCGCCCGUCACACCAUGGGAGUUGGUUCUACCUUAAGGCAAGGUUUAAAAUCCUUGACCACGGUAUAGUCAGCGACUGGGGUG
rnacentral:rRNA from 1 species